UACGAACGCUGGCGGCGUGCUUAACACAUGCAAGUCGAACGGAAAGGCCUGCUUUCCCUUGUGGAUUGCGGGUACUCGAGUGGCGAACGGGUGAGUAACACGUGAGUGAUCUGCCCCCAACUUGGGUAUAAGCCUGGGAAACUGGGUCUAAUUCCCGAUAGGACUGCAGGGUGGUGCCUGUGGUGGAAAACGAUUUUCUAGUGGUUGGGGAUGAGCUCGCGGCCUAUCAGCUUGUUGGUGGGGUAAUGGCCUACCAAGGCGGCGACGGGUAGCCGGCCUGAGAGGGUGGACGGCCACAUUGGGACUGAGAUACGGCCCAGACUCCUGCGGGCGGCAGCAGUGGGGAAUAUUGCACAAUGGGCGGAAGCCUGAUGCAGCGACGCCGCGUGGGGGAUGACGGCCUUCGGGUUGUAAACUCCUUUCGACCUCGAGGAAGCCACCUGGUUGGAAGGGUGGUGACGGUAGUGGUAGAAGAAGCACCGGCUAACUACGUG
rnacentral:rRNA from 1 species